UGGGAAGGGCCUGGGGCCGCGCGGCGCUUGGAGGGUCGGUCCGGCGCCGGCAGCGUCUCUGCCCGCCUCCCUAUGAAAUGAAGUGCCGGUUAACGCCCGGAAAGGAGGGGGAGUUGGUGGCUUGGGACUUAUGAAAGAGGUGGUUUGUAAUCACCACCGGAAGGAAAGGGAGAAGGAACCGACCAGACCAGCAGGACUGAGAAGAGCGGGAGCCCCCGCUGCGCUUGUAGACAGGUAUGUGGAGGAGCCCAAGGGCAAUGGGACCUGGGGCUGGCCUCAGGAAGGGUCUGGAACCCAGAAGCGCUGCCCGUGGAAGGUAUUCCUCCCCUCCUGAAGACCAGCUCAGCCUGACGCCUGAGCUACAGAGCAAGGGCUGUGGCUACGAUCUGGAAGCAGAUGAGGCAGAGGCUGACCCCCACAGAGGGCGCAGAGGCAGGGCAGGUACCAGGGGAAACUUGAACACAGAAACAUACACACAGGGAGAGUCCUUUGUGAAUAUGAAGGCAGAGACUGGGGUGAUGCAAAUGUCCAAGACUGUCAGCAACCACCAGAAGCUGGGGGAGAGGCAGGAACAGAUGCUCUCUCACAGCCCUCAGAAGGAACCAACCCUGCCGACAUCUUGAUCUCGGACUCCAGCCUCCAGAACUUUGAGACAGUAAGUUUCUGUUGGUUAAGCCCCCCAUUUUGUGGUCCUUGGUUAUGGCAGCCCUAGCAAACUAACACAGAGGGUGAAUGAGAUCAAACCCCCAUGGCAGCUCUUUGGCCCCAAAGGGACCCUGAUUCAGAAGGGAGACUUCUGCCUGAAAGCGGCCAGGCCUGCAGCAGCAUGAAGUGUGUAACGAUAGCAGCUAACAUUUCAUGACUACGUGCCACGUGUCCAGCACAGCACUGAGCUUCUUACAUGCUUGUCCAGUUUAACCCUCACAGCCAGCUGCUGGGGGAGGAAAGCUGUUACUGUUCUUGGUUUUUACAGAUGAGGGCCAGAGAAAUGGAGUAAUUUGCCCAAGGGCACACAGCUAGUGUAAUGUGGAGUCAGUGGUCAGGCUCCAGAGCCCACAGUCUUAACCACUAUUUUGGGGACAGUGAAGCCCACAGAAUCCUGGGAUUGAAGAGGAAGAAAGACUGAGGUAGAGACCCAGAGAGGGUCAGGGUGGAAGGAGCCUGAGGUGGGGGAUGGGACUAGAGGUGCAGAGUGCUGGAGGCCCUGGGUGCCCCUCACGUCCCCUGCAGCCAGAUGUUGAUGCAGCAUCAGACCCUAUCCAGCUGCUGCCCCCUCUCCCUGCUGUGUUUGGCCCAUUGGCUGCUCUACACAGGACCCCUGCCCAUGAUGUAGGGCCAACUUCUAGGUCACCUUCCCUGGACAAGCACAGGGCCUGGGGCACCCAUUCACUCACAGGUGAGUCCUAGUCCUGGGAGGAGCUCCCAGGGACUGGAAAGAGGGAGAUAGGGCAGAGCAGUCCCUGAGGGGCACGGAGCUGGGAGACCCUAGAGCUGGGGCUCACAUCUGCACUAGUUACGGGCCAACUGCAUGGUGUUUGCAUAGGGCUCCCCUGGCACCACCUCCUGCCUUCCCGGAGCCUGAAUCUGACCAGAGGGCCUGGCCCUUGGUCACUGAGUGCCCUACCUUCUCGCUGACAUGGUCCACUGCACACCCCAUAAAGAACAGAGUCCCUCCAGGCACCAGGGAGACAAUCUCCGACCCUCAAGAGUCUGGGUUGAGAAACAGACAAAAACGAGAUUUUUCUGUGCAAAUGUGCAGUUGCAGACUGUUACUGCAAAUUUGCUUCCUUGAGGAACUAACAGCCCUCUCAGAGCCCAGCUCUGGACCCCAGUUUGAGGUUCACCAGUUUAGACCAACUCCACCUUCUGUGAGGCCUGGGCCAGCUAAGCACUGCUGCUGAGACCCCUCUCCCUGUGCUUCCAGCCAUAGCAACAGAUCACCUCUGGUUGGGGUCCUGCUGCACAGCGUGGAUCCCAUCCAGGUCCUUACAGCUCUCCAUCACUGUGGCUCUGAGCCAUCUCCUCGGUGUCUGUAUCUAUUUCUCUGUGUCUCUGUGUGGGCACAUCUGGGAGCAUGUGCACGUGUCUCUGGGUGAGUGUCUGAUGUAUAUCUUGGUGUGUGUGUGUGUCCAACUGUCUGUCUGCCCGUGCACACAGGCAUUUGGCCAGGAGACUAAGGGAGGGUGCUGGCCAGCAGAAGGCCUCCUCCAGGAGGAGCUAGAGGUGAAGUCGGGUGGACAGGGCCUGGGACCCCCGAGCCCUUGCUGUGGCCCCCACACUUCACAGCAACUCCUCACCUCCUCCACUUCUCAUUUGGGUCAGGGACUAUUCACAACACCCCCGCCUCCAUGCCUCUCCUCUCUGGGCCUUUGCAUGAGCUCUUCCCUCUUGUUGAAAUGUCCUCUUUUCUUUUGUUCCUUGAAGAUGCCUGUUCAUCCCUCAGCGAAAAUUUCGAGGCUCAGAAGCCCCCUCUCUGGGGAGGACUCUGCUAUCUGCCGCCCCGCCCAUAGCUUUUAUAGUGCCUCUCCCCUCAUUAGGCACAUUAAAUUAUAAUUGCCUGCUUGAUUCUCCCCCCCCCACCCCCAAUACCAGAAGCAUUUGGGGACAGGGAGUGGUCAGCUCCUACUUCGGUUCUACUGUGUACAGAAGAGGGCCAGACAUGUAGUUGGUGGUUUGUAAAUGCAUGCUGAAUGAAUGAAUGGAGAAUGACGGAGCAGGAUGAGGAAGAGGCAGAAGGGAAAGAAGUGGAGGACAAAGCUGGGACAUCCUAAGAAGGGGGAAGAGAUUCAUUGGCAUGCAGGAGGAAGGACAGGGCGGUGGGGAAGAGAACGGGGAUGGAGAGGAAAGGGGUGGACAGAAUGCACUAACUUGGGGAGGUCAGGCCUCAUUCUGCUUCUGAAGUCUCUGUAGUUCUUCCUCUGAAUUUCAGAGCAACUGCUACCUGGUGCCAGCAUGUCUUCCAGUACUCAGCCACCUUCUCAUGAAGCCUGGGAUGUGAUUCUUUCUCCUCCAGCUCUUUCCCGAGGGGCACUGGUACCUCGUGGACCUUGAAUGUGCUACUAGAAAUGGGGUGGUCUGGGCACAGCAUGGACCUCAGAUCACCCACACCUUUUUUCAUACAUUUUCAAUGAUUCAUUUCCAAGUUGCAUGGGUGUCCUCACUAUGUCCUGAUGGCAGGGAUGGGGACUGGGAGAGAGGACGCUCCUUCACGGCUCCCUGUACACAUAAAACCCUCUGUCCUGAGCACUUCCACUCCCAAGCAUCCUGACUUGAGCUCAGCAGCUAAGGUUAUCUCACCUCCCCUGAGCCUGGCCCUGGGCCAGCAGGAGGGGCUCAGCCAUGUGUCAGGGAGACAGGACUUGUUGAAGCUGACAUAUUUCCCACAUGCUCCCAUAAAUGAGCCAGAAUGUGACAACCAGGCGUGUUGAUACCUGGGGAAGGGAGUCUGGCCUUGGCCACAUGAUUUAGGGAUUGGGGUUUUGGGCUCCUCUCCUUUACUGGCUGUGACAGAGGCUGGCCCACCUCCUGCCCACAGGCCAUCUCACCCAGUGUGAGAAAGGGACCCCCCCCCCCCAGCCCAGCUUGAGCACUGAGGGGUGGGCCCGAGCAGCCAUUUACCAGGCCUCCUGGCUCAGGGCUGCCCUCGGUGCUGCUAGCAGCACCGACUUCUCCCCAAGCAGCCAGACACGCUCUGCCUCCAGGGCCUGCACGUGGCACUCCAACACCGUCUUCUCUCCUCGCAGCUGCUCCAAGCAGGCCCCGAGCUGCUGGUGGCUCUGGCCCAGCUCUUCUGAGUCUCUUGUUCACUUGUGAAGACCCCACUCCAUCCUGAGUCAUGGCUCAGCCUCCCCUGGCUGGGAUCUGUCUGCUUGAGCUAGCCCGUGGGUCUUUACCCACGCAGCUCCCUCCUCCCGAGUUCCUGACCUCCGCAUCCUCUGAGAGUCAACUCUUCCAGAAGCCCUUCUCUGACCACCCCAGCCCACAGAGGCUUCUCAGAACUCCAGGCUUCAACUCUGGACCAAAUGAUUUGAGGCUGGACAGUCCCUGGCUUCCCACCAGCAGAGGGUGCUGUUUUGGUGGACAAGGAUGUGAACUGUGCUCACUGGAGUUGGGCUGUGUGGGGGCCCUGCUCCAAGCUGUCCCUCCUGGUCGUUCUCUUUUCCAUGGUGUCCUUAGGGCCACUCAACCUCAGAAUCCCCCGAGGACAGGGCCCAGGUUCCCCUGCUGCUCUGCUCCCUGGCACAGGUGGGCAUAGCCUGGCUCAUUUGGUACCCUGGGUUCCCUGCAGGACUGACCAUUUCCCUGUCUUGACCCACCUGGGUGAGCAUCAGCAGCCGUUCCUGCAGGAAGCUUGUAUCCUGAGCCUGUGCAGGGGUCUCGGCUACCGCCAUCGAGAAUCCAUCUGGGCCCUGAAGUGCCUGGGCCCUGUUGCCAUCCCAACUCUGCUCCUGGCCUUGCAGGCCUGGCACCAGCAUCUCCUGCAGGUACACUCAGUCUAGGGGGCUCCUCCUAAUCUUCAGACCACACUGUUAUGACCCUGAACAAGCUUUUCCCUAACCAUCUGGACUGUUUUCCCAUCUGAACCGUGAGAGGAGUCAGCUGGAUGAUCGCAGGGUCUUCCCAAAUGUUUGGGAGAGUGGCGUCCCUCUUGGGCGGAACAGAAGCCCCUGCACUGGCCUCCUUCCCCAGCUACUGCUCCAAGAAUGAAGACAUGGGAGUGAAGUGUAGGGAGGGCCGAAUGCGCAGGAGGGCCAGUGUUCAGGGCCCUGUCAUGCACCCACGUGGAUGGGGGGUUCUGGUCAUUCCUACCUCAGGGGGCCCCAGGCUGAGCUCUGGGCCAAGAGACUGUCGGCCCAUCUGGUCCAAACACUGCUGGGCCUUUUCCACUUCUGUCUGCAGUAAGUAGCAGGAUCAUGGGGGCAGAAGGGACUGUCUGCCUGUCCUCUGCCACUCUGCCCCUCCCCCAUCUCUAAGCACCCUCACUUGUCUUCUGCGUCCUGGUCUGGCCUCCUCCACUCCUUCUGUCUCUGGGAACCCCACAGCCUCUCCUGCUCCAGGCGGGCCACAGAGCAUUUCACCUGCUGGGGGGAGGGCUGAAGGUAGCACAAGCCCCUGGAGAGGGCUGGCCCAGCCUCACGACACACAUCCCCCACCCCCGGCAGGGCAGCGUCUGCAGCCCCUGAUAAAGCAGGCUCACUCCACAAGGCCCUGCCUGCUCCACCAGCUGUGAUAAGCCCAGCUGGGGGCCCAGCAUGGACCUGGAGCUGCACAGCUAUUAUCACUACCGGCUCUAGAUGUAAAACCCUCCACCUCCAGUUGGACACAAGACACAUCACCUUCUCCAGCCCAGCUCCUGAUGGCUUUGGAGCUCCAGCAAGAGUACGGGGGCUGGGACUUCCCUGGUGGCGCAGUGGUUAAGAAUCCUCCUGCCAAUGCAGGGGACACAUGUUCGAGCCCUGGUCCGCGAAGA